GCAGGUGUAAACGCUUAGACAAACGGACAAUUAGGAACACCGAAAAUGGAGAAACAGAGAGAGAGGAUAGAGGAGCUACUAAAAUUCACUCUUGAAUCCCACAUUAACCAAACCCUAGAAUUCAAUCUAGGACUCUCCAAAGACUUCUGCAUUAACCUCCUCGAAGAAGACCCAAAUGACAUGUUAUGUCACUCCACACCAACACCAACACCAACAGAUUCUUUUGAUGGGGUUGCUCUAUAUCCGUUGUAUAAACGUUUAGCUUCAGCUUUGUAUCGGUCUGUAAAGUCUGGUGCUGUAUGUAGAACUUAUGAGAAGAUGGUGUUUGGUGAUAAAGAUAGCAACUUGAAGCAGAAAGAAGAGAAUUGGGAUCAGUUAAUUAAAGAGAAGGGACUUGAAUUGAUAAAUGUUUUGGAGGGUAUAUCUUGUGAAAUUCAUGUUCAAGAACCUUACUUUUCACUCUUGAAAGAUGGGAGGAAAACAAUCGAAGGAAGGUGUGCUACUGGUGAUUACAUAAGAAUUGAGCCGGGUGAUUUGAUUCUCGUUAACAAAAUUGUGGUACUUAAAGUGGAGGAUGUUCGCAGAUAUGCUUCAUUUUCGAAGAUGUUGCAAGCUGAGAAUCUCGAGAAAGUCCUUCCUGGAGUUAAAACUGUUGAAGAAGGUGUCAAGAUUUAUAGGAAGUUUUAUACAGAAGAAAAGGAAAUGUCUAAUGGUGUCCUCGCAAUCUGUGUUUCAAAACUGGCUGCCCAGCCAUACCUUUCUUUGGCUAGCAUACUGUUUGGAUUAAGUUAUGGAGGUGUUCGGAGUCUACUGGGUCUUGCAGAUACUGGUGGAACAGUUUCUAAUGCCCUACCUCCACCAAGAUCGACGCUUCUCUCAUCCUUCAUUUUCCCCUAUAAUCCAAAUGUAAAAUUAUGGUUUGUUAUGAAUUGUUUCAUGCUUUAUGCUAUCUCCAAAGGUGUUCUUUUAGCUCUUUCUGGACCCUUUUAUAUAAGAAACUGGAUUGCAUUGAAUUGUCAGUUCAAAAUUUGGAUUCAAUAAAAAUCUUAGCAGAGAAACCUCAUAACUUAAGCCACAUAUCCAUUAAAAUGCAAACAACAACUAUUCUAGGAAGAGUAGAAAGGUCUACCUUGUUUUUUUCUUAAUAUUUUUAGAUGUUAAUCUAUUUAUCAUCUUCCACGUGAAUCUAUUUAUCUUCCAAUUUAGCAUCCGUGAGAGAAUUAUACAGUAUAAAGGGUACAAUCUCUUGGUUGAUGGACUUAGUAUUCAUGUUGCCUUGAGACAUCUCAAGCAGUGGCAGCCCAGAACUUAUUCAUUUUUUUUUCAUUCUCUAUGGACACAUUUCCUACUUUUUUCUCCUUUUAGUCAAAGUGUCAAGGAAGCACGCUGUCUUCCAAGUUCAUUAUGCUUAAACAAGUUCAUGUGUGCCAAUUUUAGAAUUUUCUCGAGCUUGAUUUUGUAAAUAUUUUGUGCUUCAUGAUUCUGAAUUUUUUCUUGAUUGGCUUGAGAUCAAAGGCAGUGCCUUGACUCAUGGAGCAAGGGCCUUGGCAAAGCAUGCUGAAAGGAGCAGAGACAGAUAUUGGGGUAUUCUUGGUGGAAGUGUUCAUAGGAUUUCUUGAACCAUACAUCGAAGAUGGUCACUCAAGAGGAUGGAAG